rnacentral:rRNA from 1 species
AUUGAACGCUGGCGGCAGGCCUAACACAUGCAAGUCGAACGAGUGGCGGACGGGUGAGUAAUGUCUGGGAAACUGCCCGAUGGAGGGGGAUAACUACUGGAAACGGUAGCUAAUACCGCGUACCAUCGGAUGUGCCCAGAUGGGAUUAGCUUGUAGGUGAGGUAACGGCUAACCUAGGCGACGAUCCCUAGCUGCGCUGAGAGGAUGACCAGCAGCAGUGGAAUGGGGCCACGGUCCAGACGCCUACGGGAUGCACGAGUGGGGAAUAUUGAACAAGGGGCGCAAGCAUGAGGAAGCCAUGCCGCGUGUAUGAAGAAGGCCUUCGGGUUGUAAAGUACUUUCAGCGGUGAGGCGUUACCCGCAGAAGAAGCACCGGCUAACUCCGUGCCAGCAGCCGCGGUAAUAC